rnacentral:rRNA from 1 species
GGAUAAGCCUGGGAAACUGGGUCUAAUACCGGAUACGACCAUCUGGCGCAUGUCAUGGUGGUGGAAAGCUUUUGUGGUUUUGGAUGGACUCGCGGCCUAUCAGCUUGUUGGUGGGGUAAUGGCCUACCAAGGCGACGACGGGUAGCCGGCCUGAGAGGGUGACCGGCCACACUGGGACUGAGACACGGCCCAGACUCCUACGGGAGGCAGCAGUGGGGAAUAUUGCACAAUGGGCGAAAGCCUGAUGCAGCGACGCCGCGUGAGGGAUGACGGCCUUCGGGUUGUAAACCUCUUUCAGUAGGGAAGAAGCGAAAGUGACGGUACCUGCAGAAGAAGCGCCGGCUAACUACGUGCCAGCAGCCGCGGUAAUACGUAGGGCGCAAGCGUUAUCCGGAAUUAUUGGGCGUAAAGAGCUCGUAGGCGGUUUGUCGCGUCUGCUGUGAAAGACCGGGGCUCAACUCCGGUUCUGCAGUGGGUACGGGCAGACUAGAGUGCAGUAGGGGAGACUGGAAUUCCUGGUGUAGCGGUGAAAUGCGCAGAUAUCAGGAGGAACACCGAUGGCGAAGGCAGGUCUCUGGGCUGUAACUGACGCUGAGGAGCGAAAGCAUGGGGAGCGAACAGGAUUAGAUACCCUGGUAGUCCAUGCCGUAAACGUUGGGCACUAGGUGUGGGGGACAUUCCACGUUUUCCGCGCCGUAGCUAACGCAUUAAGUGCCCCGCCUGGGGAGUACGGCCGCAAGGCUAAAACUCAAAGGAAUUGACGGGGGCCCGCACAAGCGGCGGAGCAUGCGGAUUAAUUCGAUGCAACGCGAAGAACCUUACCAAGGCUUGACAUGAACCGGAAAGACCUGGAAACAGGUGCCCCGCUUGCGGUCGGUUUACAGGUGGUGCAUGGUUGUCGUCAGCUCGUGUCGUGAGAUGUUGGGUUAAGUCCCGCAACGAGCGCAACCCUCGUUCUAUGUUGCCAGCGCGUUAUGGCGGGGACUCAUAGGAGACUGCCGGGGUCAACUCGGAGGAAGGUGGGGACGACGUCAAAUCAUCAUGCCCCUUAUGUCUUGGGCUUCACGCAUGCUACAAUGGCCGGUACAAAGGGUUGCGAUACUGUGAGGUGGAGCUAAUCCCAAAAAGCCGGUCUCAGUUCGGAUUGGGGUCUGCAACUCGACCCCAUGAAGUCGGAGUCGCUAGUAAUCGCAGAUCAGCAACGCUGCGGUGAAUACGUUCCCGGGCCUUGUACACACCGCCCGUCAAGUCAC